GAUGAACGCUGGCGGCGUGCCUAAUACAUGCAAGUCGAGCGAACGGACGAGAAGCUUGCUUCUCUGAUGUUAGCGGCGGACGGGUGAGUAACACGUGGAUAACCUACCUAUAAGACUGGGAUAACUUCGGGAAACCGGAGCUAAUACCGGAUAAUAUUUUGAACCGCAUAGUUCAAAAGUGAAAGACGGUCUUGCUGUCACUUAUAGAUGGAUCCGCGCUGCAUUAGCUAGUUGGUAAGGUAACGGCUUACCAAGGCAACGAUGCAUAGCCGACCUGAGAGGGUGAUAGGCCACACUGGAACUGAGACACGGUCCAGACUCCUACGGGAGGCAGCAGUAGGGAAUCUUCCGCAAUGGGCGAAAGCCUGACGGAGCAACGCCGCGUGAGUGAUGAAGGUCUUCGGAUCGUAAAACUCUGUUAUUAGGGAAGAACAUAUGUGUAAGUAACUGUGCACAUCUUGACGGUACCUAAUCAGAAAGCCACGGCUAACUACGUG
rnacentral:rRNA from 1 species